rnacentral:rRNA from 1 species
AGCAGCCGCGGUAAUUCCAGCUCCAAUAGCGUAUAUUAAAGUUGUUGCAGUUAAAAAGCUCGUAGUUGAAUUUCGGGAUUGACGUGAUAGUCGUGCCUUAAGGGGUAUGAACUGUUGCUGUUGAUUUCUCACCUUCUGGAGAAACUUGAUGUCCUUAAUUGGGUGUCUUGCGGAUCCAGGACCUUUACCUUGAAAAAAUUAGAGUGUUUAAAGCAGGCAUUUUGCUCGAAUACAUUAGCAUGGAAUAAUAGAAUAGGACGGCAUGGUUCUAUUUUGUUGGUUUCUAGGAUCACCGUAAUGAUUAAUAGGGAUAGUUGGGGGCAUUAGUAUUCAAUUGUCAGAGGUGAAAUUCUUGGAUUUAUUGAAGACUAACUACUGCGAAAGCAUUUGCCAAGGAUGUUUUCAUUAAUCAAGAACGAAAGUUAGGGGAUCGAAGAUGAUCAGAUACCG